AGAGUUUGAUCAUGGCUCAGAGCGAACGCUGGCGGCAGGCCUAACACAUGCAAGUCGAGCGGCCGUAGCAAUACGGCAGCGGCAGACGGGAGAGUUACACGUGGGAACGCGUCCUUCGGUUCGGAAUAACUCAGGGAAACUUGAGCUAAUACCGGAUACGCCCUUACGGGGAAAGAUUCAUCGCCGAAGGAACGGCCCGCGUCCGAUUAGCUAGUUGGUGAGGUAAUGGCUCACCAAGGCAACGAUCGGUAGCUGGUCUAAGAGGAUGAUCAGCCUCACUGGGACUGAGACACGGCCCAGACUCCUACGGGAGGCAGCAGUGGGGAAUAUUGGACAAUGGGCGAAAGCCUGAUCCAGCAACGCCGCGUGAGGGAUGACGGCCUUCGGGUUGUAAACCUCUUUCAGCAGGGACGAAGCGCAAGUGACGGUGCCUGCAGAAGAAGCACCGGCCAACUACGUGCCAGCAGCCGCGGUAAUA
rnacentral:rRNA from 1 species